ACUGUUACUACUGCAGUAUCAUUGCUAGCCUCAGCCCUGCUCUCAUGCACUCAUUUGCUCAGCGCCGACGACAAGCAGCAACACGAUUGGUCAGAAGAAGUAGUGGCUGUAACGUCAUGCCACUGUGGCUUGUGGUGCUACAGUAAUCUGGAGGGGUUCUGAGUAUCGGCAGUUUUCAACAUUAUGUUAGAACAUUACAGAGCAGGAGGGGCAGGUGAGACAGCAGAGAUGAAAAGGAUAGGAAGCAGUGACUGGCUGGAGGCACCAACAUCUGUAACUGCUGGUAUCACUGGCACCAGCUGAUUAGGUCACACAUAUCCUGCAUGCUGUAAAAAGACAUCAUGGACUAUAAAUCAGGAUGUCUAUUCACAGGCUUAACUGAGCAUCGAUUAUUAAUGUCCUUUUCUGCUGCAGCUGCACUUGGGCCUGUUUUACAAGGAGCAGUACUGUACUGUAGCUGCAGAAGUACGGAAUAACAAGAGGAAGACAAGGGUGUUAGGAGUGGUAAGAGAAAGAAUACCUCCUAAAUGGAAAGAGACAGCUGAGCUGGAUGUGGCAAAUGAAUACAGAGGCUCCCGGAGGCGGCUGUCAGUCAGACCAAACAGACUCUCACACCAAAUCAUUACUGAAACGCUGAAGCCUGCUCCUCAGGAUUGAACUGCACAUUCAUUAAUGGAAUAAGCAUAUAGUUAAUGUUUAAAAACUAAUCUUGCAACUGAAGGCAUCUUGUUUAAUACAAUGUAAAGUUGCCCCAGGGACCUCUCACUUUGCCCUUUUGUAGUAGAAGUACAAGGAAAACAUUUGAGUUACUGAAGGUUUGAAAGACAUUGCUCACCUCUUUGUAGAAAGAAACUGCAUCAAUCACAUAUGAUCUAAAUUCAGAUUUAUAAAUAUGGUGGUUUGAGAAUCUUUACCAGAGCUACAUAAGCUAAUAUGGAUGAUUUACCCCCUCACUGUUAUUGUUUCAGGUUGAUUUUCUUACUAAAGUCUCUUUGAGCAUUGUUCAGUCACAAUGCAUCCACCACAGUUCACAUGAACAAAGAUCAGAAUUGAUAAAAAUGUUGUUCAUCUGCAUCGUGUGCUCACAGCAAUGAGGUUAAUGAACAGGUGCACGAUGCACUUUGCAAAACCCUCCUCCUAUGUACAGUGUAUACAGGCACCCUACCUUUUUUGAUAAAAACAGUCAAAACUGUGUGAAGCCAGAAAAAAGCUCAGGGACACUAGUACAGAGGGUUACAUAGCAUUUUGAUUUAUUUAGUUAUAUUGCCAAUAUUAAAGCAUAAUAACCAAUUUGAUCAUAAUCUAGAUGGAUUUAAAUGCAAGAAACAUGACGCUUUUGAUAUCUUUGAUGGAUGGUGCUCCUUACGCCCUCCUCUUCUAAUGUCCACAAUAACAAGCCUCAUCACCAUGGAUGUAUUAUUAACUGGCUAUAACAUGGCUGAAAAGACCUUGUUAAUGACUCUAUUAAAACCUAAUGCUGCAAAUGGAAAAUGAACUAAAUUUAUACAUCAGAUUUACUGUGUGUUACAUCCACCCACGUACACGCACACACAUACACAUAUAAACACCCACAUUAAUACAUCAGUGAAGCUGCCUUGCAGACUGAGGGUACAACAGGUGACUAAAGGUGGACUAAGUACAAAAAAAUGGGGUGACCGUUCAUUUGCCGUAUAUGGCCCCAGGCUCUGGAACUCCUUACCGCCGGAGUUACGGUCCAUAACUGAGUUAUGUUUUUUUAAGUCCAGACAAAAAACGUAUCUUUUUAGACAGGCUUUUUGUGCUUAAUCUGUUCCAAUGGCAUCAUGUUGAUGUCUUUUAGCUUGUUGUUUAAUACUUAUAUUUGAUAUGGAAGCCUUUCAUUAGCCUUCGAUUUAUAUCUUGUGUUUUUAUUUUUCUUGUUCUUGGUCUUAUUGCUAUGUUGUUAGUUAUUUCUUUUCUAUUUGUUGUUUUGUGAAGCGCACUGGGCUCCUACAGAGUUGUAAAGCGCUAUAC